GGGAGGCGUGUGGGGGAGGAGGCUAAGAGGAAGUCACCAGAGGAGGGACAGAACACUGUGUCACCUGGGCUCUUGUGGCCAUGUGAGAACUUCGGCCUUUACUGUGAGAAGAGAAAUGUCGGGAGAGCUCCUGUGCCUCUGGAGUUCGAGUCCGGACUAAGGACCGCUGCCCCUGGCUGCAGUGGGGGGCGCAGGAGCGCGGAGGAUGCUGAAGCGCCCACGGCCGGGAGGAGACCAGCUGCUUGUUCUGGUGCCACUUGAACCCAACAUUUUCGAUUUUGUUCCCUGACUUGUGUGAAGCCACAGAGUCUAGACUCCCAAUGCUCCCUGCCUGCUGAGGACAAAUAACCACCACUGACUGACAACCCAUCCUCGUCUAGAAGGACGUACACUCUUAUAACCCAGCCACCAUGCUUUCAGAAGCCCAUGCAACAUGGAGAGGCCACAGGUAGGUGCUGCAGUGUCCACCCCAGCUGACCUCCCUGUUGACCACCACCAUCUGGGACCUCUAGCUCAACUGGGGCUUCAGAUGACUGCAGUCCCAUCCAACAGCUGAGUACAACUGUUUGAGCGACCCCAAGCAAGAACCACCUAGCCAAGCCUUUGCUGAAAUCCUGCCCUACAAAAACAUGAACAAAAUAAAGUGGCUCUUUUAAGCCAGUAACUGUGGGAGUAAUUUGUUAUGCAACAAUAGGGUGCUGGAUUGCUUUGAGUUAGAAAAAUAUUGGACCUGUUCCUAUACCCUAAAAUCAGGGAAGCAACUUUUUCUUAGCUCACUAGAGGCUACUCACCCAGAAAUAAAACCACCACUGAAUGCAUGUUUUUAUUCUACAUACUCUACAAGGUAGCUGAGAAACUGUCACUCCAAGAAACGCUGAUUCAGUUCACCCUGGGUGAACCAAUACCUGGUCUAAAUUCUUGCUACUCUAAGUGAGGUCUAUGGACUUGCAGUAUCUACCAACCCAGGAGCUUGUUAGAAAUGUGGAUCUACCCUGAAAAAAAAAAAAAAA